ACUGAAUUAUCUAGGAGUUCAUAACACAGCAUUGUAAAACUAAUAGCUCCAUCGCUACGUUUGGAAUCUAAAAAUCAUAUUAAAUAGGCAAACCAUAAUAUGUUAUUAAUUUAAUAUAUAUCUCUAAAAUAUGAAACAAUCAUGUAGCAAGUAUAUUCACAUUAUGGGCCAUCCAUAAUUUUUUUAAUUCAAUCUAUUUUUGAGUAAAGUUUUCAAUAAGAUCUUGUUGUAAUCUUAACUUAUUUUAUUAAUAUAGACACAUUUAACAUAAUUACUGAUAUGUUAAAUAUUCUUAUUUUCUAAACCAAUUAAAUAACAUUUUUACAUAGCAACUUCCUUAAAUUCUGUAUAGGAUCCUUGUUUUUUUUUUUUUUUUUUUUGGCGAUCAAUUUAACCACCGACUAAUUUAUAGCCGCCAUCAAUAAUUCGCAAUCAAUUUACCGUGAUCCAAAAUUCAGAAAUAUCACCAUAAAACUGAACCACUAAAUGUGCAUAAUUAUACACUUUAUAUAUAUAACACUAUAUACUAUAACACUUUUGAUAUUAUAUUUUCCAUUGUUUCAAUUAAUUGCUUACGUAGGAAAUAAAUUUAUUAGCCAUUAAGGUCAUGCAUUAACGUCAUGCGAAUGUAUAUUCCGAGUAUUAGAACCUUUGAACUUUUUUGUAUUUAGAUUAUCAUCCAUUUUUAAUAUAUUGUCAGUAUACUUAGUGACGUAUACUGACUAAAAAUUUAUGACUACAUCACUGGUAUAAUUUAUUUUAUAUUAUAUAUUGCUACAAUAGUCUCUCUGAUUUAAUGUAAAACAAAAUGUAUUUUCUUUUUAACAAAAAUUAUGGACUAAUUUUGAUUAUUUAUUUAGUUUAACACUAUGCCAUUUUAGACAUUAUAUGGAUUUUGUUUUUCUUCAGCUUUUAAGUCCAUUUUAUGGGCAGUUCAAUUACCACGAAACGGAUUUCUAUAUCUACUUAUAAUUGAAAAAAAAACUUAGUUAAAUUAUUAAAAUAAUUAUAAUAUAAAUAAUUAAAUGAAGAAUUUAAAAUUAAGCUCUAGUUCGUAUUGUGAAAUUCCUUUGAAUGAAUUAUUUGAUUUACCAUCAGAAUUUGAUUGUGAUUCUUUUUCUCCGUUUUGGUUUGAAUAUAAAGGUAUAAAAUAUUAUUAUGGUAUGCUACUAGUUUUAGAAGUACAAUGGAACAUUGAUUAUCCGAACCUCCGUGAUACGAAACUUCUAUUAUCCAGAUGUUAAAACUCGUUGAAGCCCUAAGCGGCCGUCCACCGAUUAUAUAACUGUCGCAAUUUAUUAUUAGUACAUACAUAUACGUAUUAGGUACGUGUGUGAAUUGUUAGUAGAUAAAAUCGAGACGUGUUCAUCGAGGCACAACCUGGGCCUGAUCUAAGGAAAUAGAGGCCUUGAGUACUACUUACUUUGGAACCAUAUUUGAAUUAAAACAGAAAUUGGUAAAAAUUAAUAAAAAAAAAAAAAAAAUGUAUACAGAUAUAUUAAAGAGAAAGAUUAUAAUAAAUUUAUAUCUGCAAAUCACUUUUUAAGUAAAGUAAAGUAUAUCUACAUAUCGAUUUCCUUUCAGAAAAGGUGCUACACAAAAAAUCGGAGCUAGAUUUCUGAUAGAAAAGUUGUCCACAGAAAAAAAAAACCUUUGCAAAACUAUAAGUUUCUUCGUCCACUCAGAAUCUAAAAUGUUAACAUUCUAACAUGUAAUAUUUACUAUUUACCAAAAAUAUAAAGUAUACUAAAAAAUAUUAAAGUGUACUCACAAUACAAUAGUAAACUACAGCUUUCAUUUACGAUUUUGUAUAUAAAAAUGUAUCAUUGUUAUUUUAAAAUUAUUUUUCAUAUACACACGCAUUGUCUGUGGAAAAUCUGUAUUUUGUUCUGUAACUAUGUCAUAUAUGGAUAAAAUAUUUUGUCUUUACUAUGAAAAACUUGAUUGGGUUUUUGGGGGUGCUAAAGACCUUCUAAUACCCUCCCAAGUUACGCCUAUGGACGUAAUGUGUUUAUCUUAGCAUAUCAAACGUCAAUGUGCGUUGAAGCAUUCGUAAUAUCAUAAACAUAUAUUCCUAUAUACUCUGUGAUUGUGUAUUUCUAAAUACAUAAUGUAAUUCUAAUAUGAAAAU